GUAGGUGGCGAGCGUUGUCCGGAAUUAUUGGGCGUAAAGCGCGCGCAGGCGGUUCUUUAAGUCUGAUGUGAAAGCCCACGGCUCAACCGUGGAGGGUCAUUGGAAACUGGAGAACUUGAGUACAGAAGAGGAAAGCGGAAUUCCACGUGUAGCGGUGAAAUGCGUAGAGAUGUGGAGGAACACCAGUGGCGAAGGCGGCUUUCUGGUCUGUAACUGACGCUGAGGCGCGAAAGCGUGGGGAGCAAACAGGAUUAGAUACCCUGGUAGUCCACGCCGUAAACGAUGAGUGCUAAGUGUUAGGGGGUUUCCGCCCCCCUUAGUGCUGCAGCUAACGCAUUAAGCACUCCGCCUGGGAGUACGGCCGCAAGGCUG
rnacentral:rRNA from 1 species